rnacentral:tRNA from 1 species
UCCCUGGUGGCUCAGACGGUAAAGCGUCUGCCUGCGAUGAGGAAGAUCCGGGUUCGAUUCCUGGGUCGGGAA